AGUGGCGCACGGGUGCGUAACGCGUAUGCAAUCUACCUUUUACAGGGGGAUAGCCUUUAGAAAUGAAGAUUAAUAUCCCAUAGUAUAUUUAAGUGGCAUCACUUAAAUAUUAAAGUUUCGGCGGUAAAAGAUGAGCAUGCGUUCUAUUAGCUAGUAGGUGUGGUAACGGCACACCUAGGCAACGAUAGAUAGGGGCCCUGAGAGGGGGAUCCCCCACACUGGUACUGAGACACGGACCAGACUCCUACGGGAGGCAGCAGUGAGGAAUAUUGGACAAUGGAGGCAACUCUGAUCCAGCCAUGCCGCGUGCAGGAAGACUGCCCUAUGGGUUGUAAACUGCUUUUAUACAGGAAGAAACCUUUCCACGUGUGGAGAGCUGACGGUACUGUAAGAAUAAGGAUCGGCUAACUCCGUGCCAGCAGCCGCGGUAAUACGGAGGAUCCAAGCGU
rnacentral:rRNA from 1 species